GAACUGAAACAUCUAAGUACCCCGAGGAAAAGAAAUCAACCGAGAUUCCCCCAGUAGCGGCGAGCGAACGGGGAGCAGCCCAGAGCCUGAAUCAGUAUGUGUGUUAGUGGAAGCGUCUGGAAAGGCGCGCGAUACAGGGUGACAGCCCCGUACACAAAAAUGCACAUGCUGUGAGCUCGAUGAGUAGGGCGGGACACGUGGUAUCCUGUCUGAAUAUGGGGGGACCAUCCUCCAAGGCUAAAUACUCCUGACUGACCGAUAGUGAACCAGUACCGUGAGGGAAAGGCGAAAAGAACCCCGGCGAGGGGAGUGAAAAAGAACCUGAAACCGUGUACGUACAAGCAGUGGGAGCACGCUUAGGCGUGUGACUGCGUACCUUUUGUAUAAUGGGUCAGCGACUUAUAUUCUGUAGCAAGGUUAACCGAAUAGGGGAGCCGAAGGGAAACCGAGUCUUAACUGGGCGUUAAGUUGCAGGGUAUAGACCCGAAACCCGGUGAUCUAGCCAUGGGCAGGUUGAAGGUUGGGUAACACUAACUGGAGGACCGAACCGACUAAUGUUGAAAAAUUAGCGGAUGACUUGUGGCUGGGGGUGAAAGGCCAAUCAAACCGGGAGAUAGCUGGUUCUCCCCGAAAGCUAUUUAGGUAGCGCCUCGUGAAUUCAUCUCCGGGGGUAGAGCACUGUUUCGGCAAGGGGGUCAUCCCGACUUACCAACCCGAUGCAAACUGCGAAUACCGGAGAAUGUUAUCACGGGAGACACACGGCGGGUGCUAACGUCCGUCGUGAAGAGGGAAACAACCCAGACCGCCAGCUAAGGUCCCAAAGUCAUGGUUAAGUGGGAAACGAUGUGGGAAGGCCCAGACAGCCAGGAUGUUGGCUUAGAAGCAGCCAUCAUUUAAAGAAAGCGUAAUAGCUCACUGGUCGAGUCGGCCUGCGCGGAAGAUGUAACGGGGCUAAACCAUGCACCGAAGCUGCGGCAGCGACGCUGAUGCGUUGUUGGGUAGGGGAGCGUUCUGUAAGCCUGCGAAGGUGUGCUGUGAGGCAUGCUGGAGGUAUCAGAAGUGCGAAUGCUGACAUAAGUAACGAUAAAGCGGGUGAAAAGCCCGCUCGCCGGAAGACCAAGGGUUCCUGUCCAACGUUAAUCGGGGCAGGGUGAGUCGACCCCUAAGGCGAGGCCGAAAGGCGUAGUCGAUGGGAAACAGGUUAAUAUUCCUGUACUUGGUGUUACUGCGAAGGGGGGACGGAGAAGGCUAUGUUGGCCGGGCGACGGUUGUCCCGGUUUAAGCGUGUAGGCUGGUUUUCCAGGCAAAUCCGGAAAAUCAAGGCUGAGGCGUGAUGACGAGGCACUGCGGUGCUGAAGCAACAAAUGCCCUGCUUCCAGGAAAAGCCUCUAAGCAUCAGGUAACAUCAAAUCGUACCCCAAACCGACACAGGUGGUCAGGUAGAGAAUACCAAGGCGCUUGAGAGAACUCGGGUGAAGGAACUAGGCAAAAUGGUGCCGUAACUUCGGGAGAAGGCACGCUGAUAUGUAGGUGAAGUCCCUCGCGGAUGGAGCUGAAAUCAGUCGAAGAUA
rnacentral:rRNA from 1 species